GGUCCCGUAGCUCAGUUGGAUAGAGCAGCCGCCUUCUAAGCGGCAUGUCGAGGGUUCGAAUCCUUCCGGGACCGCCA
rnacentral:tRNA from 1 species